rnacentral:rRNA from 1 species
GAUGAACGCUGGCGGCGUGCCUAAUACAUGCAAGUCGAACGAGGCCCUUUGUAUUCGUACGAAGGUGUCCAAGUGGCGAACGGGUGAGUAACACGUAGGUGACCUACCCCGAAGAGGGGGACAACCCCGGGAAACUGGGGCUAAUACCCCAUGAUCUCCAUGGCGUUAGAGGGCCAUGGAGCAAACGGAGCAAUCCGCUUUGGGAGGGGCCUGCGGCCCAUCAGCUAGUUGGUAGGGUAAUGGCCUACCAAGGCUACGACGGGUAGGGGGCCUGAGAGGGUGGUCCCCCACAAUGGAACUGAAACACGGUCCAUACACCUACGGGUGGCUG